UGGAGCGCCCUCCCCAUCCUCUCCUGAGCCCAGAAAAUUGAGCUCAUGGAUGGCAUCCGGGGAGUCGUCCUUCCUACUCGUCCUCAUCAGGCUUUUGGGGACAGCUUCAUGCACUGCUUCUGCUGCUGCACACUGUCCAGCUCAUGGUUCUCACGGUCGUCCAUGUCCUCACAAUUCUACAGAAAGGGAAUCCGCUCUAGCACCCAGCCACCAAAGCACUCUGCCAUCUUUGACUGCCACAUUCCUUUUGGUCUAUUCCUGCAUCUUUCACCAGCAGCAACUUGCCGCCGUGGAGCCCUCCAGGGGCCAGCAUGGCCCUGUGGCCCCCAUUCGCUGGACUCUGCGGCCCCGCUGAGCUCCAACCAGUGGCCCAGUAGGGGCUGCACGCGCCUGGACCACACGCUCAUGAUGGUGCCUGUGUGGAGUGCACCUCUUCCAGAUACCUGUCGGAGAAGCUGCUGCCCGUCCUGCCACACCAGUGGGCUGUUCUCCAGUGCGACCAAUUCCACGGGGCCAUUGGACACUUGUGACAGUUCUGGUUUCUUCUCCCCGUGGUUCAGGGAGCAAGGUCACCUGAGCCUGCAAGGGGGCGCUUUCCGCGUGGGAGCGGGCUUUCCUCGCUCAGACUCUUGGCUGGAUAAAGGGUGGAUCCAGCGCGAGCACCAGGUCUCCGGGCUUCCGGGCUGCCUCCGCUUCCGCCUCUUCCUCCACCUCCCUUACCCGCUGGGCCCCGGGACAGGGGCGGGAGGCCAGAGCCACUCGGUCAGACCAGCCCCCGCCAGAGCCAAGAGAAUGGCGGGAGCUGGCGGCCGCCACGUGGGGACCAAUCCCUGCUGUGUCACGGAGGCUUGGACGGCCCGCGCGCCUGCUGUCGGCAUUAGCUAUCCGUUAAUGAGCAGCCACAUGGCCCAGGCUGUGUGCCCAGUGCUCUACGGACCUCUCUCAACUGACAACAAAUCCUCCUAGGUGAGUGCUGUUUUUGUUCCAAUGCUGCAGAUGAGGAAACGGAGGCACUGUUGCCCCUACAGAAAUCGUGAAGGCUCAUCUUCACCCUGAUAUCUUGUAGCCAUCCCGUUUCACGGUGAAGAGCUUUACUCCUCCGGGUUUCUCUUGGCUUGCAGAGAAAGUUCUAGUAACAAAAUCACUGCCAGUCAUGCUUCCACAGAGGCCAAAAUUCUAUCCCUACGUUCCAGUCCAUCUAUCCAUCCUGCCAGAGAAUAUACUUGUUUUCAUGGAGACCUGGAAAACAGCUACUCCUGUAUUUCGCAAAUGUGACCACUAAAGAACCCCAGGAGGUGGAGGAAAUAUGAAGGGACCAUCUAGAACAGAGGAAAGAACAGAUGCCACAAGGAACCACUGCUGGUCAUUUAGCCUUUCUGCACAUCCUUAAAAGUAAUCUAACCCAUCUCUAGUCUACUUUCGGGCUCCAGUUAACCAAGAAGCUGACAUUUACAGUCAUGAAAGCUCCCUCUGCUGAAACCAUUAGAAAACCAGGGAGAGGCCAUCGGAGAUGUCGACAUUUCCUUGGUUCCCAGAAGCAGCAACAUUUUUAUUCCCUUCAGCAGCUUCUUUCAGGUAUUCCACAGCUGCAGCCACCAUCAUGAAAGCACCCUUUCAUCAAUUCACCAGAGAAAAAUGUUCUCCACUUCUAAGGACAAAGCCCUAUGAAUGAACUCAGAUCAAAGGACAGAGGCUUCUUCAGGCUCCUGGUGGACCCAUGCUAACUGCUUUUCAACAAGUCCUUGUCAAUAUGUUCUCAUUAGCAAUGUAUGAAAAUGUCCGUGUCUCAACACCCCUCCCUCCUUACAGCCAGUAUCUGAAAGAUGUAUCACAGAAUAUUAAAAUUCAAACAAUG